CACGUAGGGUGCGAGCGUUGUCCGGAAUUAUUGGGCGUAAAGAGCUCGUAGGCGGUGUGUCGCGUCGGCCGUGAAAACCUGCAGCUUAACUGUGGGCUUGCGGUCGAUACGGGCAUCACUGGAGUUCGGCAGGGGAGACUGGAAUUCCUGGUGUAGCGGUGAAAUGCGCAGAUAUCAGGAGGAACACCGGUGGCGAAGGCGGGUCUCUGGGCCGAUACUGACGCUGAGGAGCGGAAGCGUGGGGAGCGAACAGG
rnacentral:rRNA from 1 species